ensembl:antisense
GGUGGCAGCGGCAUGGGUCGCAGUCCUCGUGGACGGUCUCCGACUCGCCUUAUCAGAGUUUAAAACGUAAAGGUGGGGGUGAAAGUAGAUGUAUUAGAAGCAUGCAAAUGUUUCAUAACUAAAUUGCAGGAGAUUUGCAGAUGACACGAGAGGACCAGCUAGUACGACCACAGCCGAUAGUCCAGUGAAAGACCAGGGUUUAGCUAGCAGAUAAAUGUUGAAUUCCAGCGCAUAACAACCAUCCCACUUGAAACAACCUUUAUGGCUCAGUUGGACAGCCAUUUACCCUAGCUAACAUCUAUUUUCAUCAAAAAGGAAGGUGUUUCUGGCCAAAAACUAGCCAAACAUCUGGCGAUCUUGCAAGAGGCUACAAGUGACAUCAAUCUUAAAUGGGCAGCAGUCCUCAAGGCACUUUGCAUCUAUCUUGGUGAGGAUGAUGAACAUCUCAUUCAGGAGUAUAAGGACAUUGAAGGAGAUGGCAUCCAGAGAGACCUGCAGAAUUCCACCAUGGGCGUAUAUGUCAUCAACAAGGAGGGUGGAGAAAUUGGAGCACAUGAUGACAUUUAUGUUGAAGGAGAAAUCAUUCUGGACAACAUUGGAUCUGUAGCCCAAGCAUCUGCAAUGAUGCUGGGAGUCAUCUAUGUAUUGAACUUGGCCUACCCCAAAGAGCUGAAAUACUCUUAUGAAUUCAUUCAAAAUGUGCUCUUGAAAAUGGAUGGAGAAAGACUUUCCCCCCAAAGUCCUUGGACUAAAGAACAAAAUCAUUGCUGGACUGUAGGAUUUCUUCAGCCACUCAUGUAAACGCUGCUAAGCUGCAUUUUUAAAUCUGGUUUGGGAGGCGAUAGAAAACAUAUAGUAUGAUGUAAAAUGCAACCCUAGAAAAUGUUUCAAACUGAAAACAAAGUGAGUGGUGGACUGUAAUACAUAGCCACUGGUGUGAACAUUUAAAGUUGUCAUUGGAUUUAGUCGAAUAUUCACCUGAAAUAAAAAUUGCAAUCCUGUAAAUAGGCCAGGUUUCUAUCCACACUCAGCACAAAAAGUAUCCAUCCAUCCAUUAACGCCAUAUGAAUAUUAGAAGUUAAGCGCUUUGAGAUAAACAGUUGAUGAUGUCUGCACCAUUAUGGCAUUGCAUAAGAAGAGGACACAAUGAGAUGACGUCAUUAAAAGAGCUCCAGUCAAAGUUCAAACAAUGGAGAACCAUGUGUAAAACAAGAAAUUAUGACAAUUCUUGUUAGUUUCAUGUGAGAAUGUUACAGCCUCCUCAUUGCUUCACACAGAUGUGAUGUUUUCAUUUGACACUAUUUUUAUUUUUUUUAGAUUAGCUUAAGCUUCAGUUGACAUUUAAGUCACGUUUCAUUUUAUUUAGUAAGUCUGUUUCCAUAUUUAUACACCAACUUUUUCACCUCAGCCAAACAUAAAAUCUUUUUUUUAAUUAGUAUUUUUUGAAUGUAACUACAGUUUUUUGUAAUUUCAGCAUCAGGUCCUCAGUGUGCACUGUGUUGCAGCUGUGGACAGUUCUUAUAUUAUAGUAUUUUUUGUUCUGUAUAGUACUGGUGUAUUUUGUUACUUGUAUAUGUUUUGUUGUGUGUUAAAAGGCUUCCCUCCAAAGUUCUCCUGUGUGUAUAUGUAUACAGCCACUAUUGUGAAUAUUUAAAGCUGCACUAAUGAUGUUUUGGAAUAUUGACUCAAUGUAAGUUUGCAGUUAAAUAUAAUCUCACGCAAGUUAUUCAGUGUUCGCUGUCUUCCAGCUAAUCUGGUGCACUUGUUUUGUUACGAAUGGUACAAUGUAUUUUAUGUUAAUGGAUGAUAUACUGCAUUUUGUUAUAAGAAAACAAUUUGAGAAAUGAUUACUGAGUUUCAUUACUGCCAUUCUUUAAGAGAGCAAAAAUAUCUCUUGGAUCACAAAAAUAAAGUUAAAGUUGAAAAUA